rnacentral:rRNA from 1 species
AGAUUGAACGCUGGCGGCAUGCCUUACACAUGCAAGUCGAACGGUAGAGUAGCAAUACUCGAGAGUGGCGAACGGGUGAGUAAUAUAUCGGAACGUGCCCAGUCGUGGGGGAUAACGUAGAGAAAUUUACGCUAAUACCGCAUACGAUCUAAGGAUGAAAGCGGGGGACUCGCAAGAGCCUCGCGCGAUUGGAGCGGCUGAUAUCAGAUUAGGUUGUUGGUGAGGUAAAAGCUCACCAAGCCGACGAUCUGUAGCUGGUUUGAGAGAACGACCAGCCACACUGGGACUGAGACACGGCCCAGACUCCUACGGGAGGCAGCAGUGGGGAAUUUUGGACAAUGGGCGAAAGCCUGAUCCAGCAAUGCCGCGUGCAGGAAGAAGGCCUUCGGUUGUAAACGUGCUUUUUGUACGGAACGAAAAGGUCUGCCCUAAUACGGCGGCCCAGUGACGGUACCGUAAGAAUAAGCACCGGCUAACGUACGUGCCAGCAGCCGCGGUAAUC